UACGAAGGGGGCUAGCGUUGCUCGGAAUUACUGGGCGUAAAGCGUGCGUAGGUGGUUUGUUAAGUCUGCUGUGAAAGCCCCGGGCUCAACCUGGGAAUGGCAGUGGAUACUGGCAAGCUAGAGUGCGGUAGAGGGGUGUGGAAUUCCCGGUGUAGCGGUGAAAUGCGUAGAGAUCGGGAGGAACACCCGUGGCGAAGGCGGCCAUCUGGACCAGCACUGACGCUGAGGCACGAAAGCGUGGGGAGCAAACAGG
rnacentral:rRNA from 1 species